GUGCUCGCUUCGGCAGCACAUAUACUGAAAUUGGAAGGAUACAGAGAAGAUUAGCAUGACCCCUGCGCAAGGAUGACAUGCAAAUUCGUGAAGCAUUGCAUAUUUUU